rnacentral:lncRNA from 1 species
GCCCUGCGAUUUGUUUCCAUGGUGAUUCUGAAUCCCAUCAAGUCGUCAAUCAAGAGUAACUGUUACAGAAGGAGAGGAGCAUAAAUCAACCAAACUCAGCCUGGUGUUUAUAUCCAGAGAUCAAUGGCUCCUAACUCUCAGCACUACGGAUGAACCCAGAGCUGCAUCCUAAGCAAGCACUCUAUUCCUGAGCUUCACCUUUCAUUGGCGAGCUUACUGCUUACCUGAGAUUGAUUGGCUGGCAGGAUGUUUUCCUCUACGACAUGAUCUUUGGUACCCUAUGAACAAGGCUGCAUAAGUGAAGGAGAACAGGACAAGUGUCUUGAUGAAAUGUGACGGAGUUCGGUGUCUGUGACAUGAGAGAGAGACCACCAGCCUCCAUAUGAACACAACCAGUCCCUCAGGAGCCACCUCAAACUGCAUCUCCAGCUAGCAUCCCAUCACUAGUGUAUCCUAAUUACACCGGAGGCUUCGUGAAUAUGCCUCAGUAUGAUCAUUUCCGCAAUGUGGAUUUUAGUCACAGAGACUGAUAAAUUGCAGCUGCUCAGAAGAAAU